GCUGCUGCUCUGACAAAUCUGGAAAAAGCACACUCGCAUCGCAAUGGGAGGAACACGCCACGAGCAGAGGUGAAGAGGAGAGAGAGAGGGGGGCUUCCCUGGAUGUCGUCUGUGUCAUUGGCCCCUGUUCAGACGCAGUGCUCUGGACCCGGGUAGAGGGGCUGGCAACAUGCCCGAUCUACAACAAGUGAGCUGUCCUAUCUCUGACAUCAAGCAGACUCUUUACAGCUCCAUCUUUGUGCCUUCAGUGCAACUUGUGGCCCAGCGUCUAACCAGAUGUGGCGUAUGGAAAUGAAUUAUGUUGACACAUGACUGAAAACAACAGUGAACGGGCCCGCCAUGCUACACAAUGAAGAAUCAUGCAGUGAAACAGAGGAGAGGAGCCCGCGCUGCACCUUUUGAGCCCCUUUUGACAGGUCAAAGGAACGAGUACAGCCAUGCAGCCCACCACAGACCAGACUGGGUAUGCACUGUCAGACAAGCGCACAAUCAAUAGGACUUCUACAUUUGUAAGUGUUUGCAAUCAGGCAUUACUGUGAUAGGUGAAUGAACAAAUGAACUACAGUUAUAUAUAUAUAUGUGAAAAAAAAGG